rnacentral:rRNA from 1 species
GACGUGAGGUGGCGAACGUUAUCCGGAAUUAUUGGGCGUAAAGGGUGCGUAGGCGGUUUGGUUAAGUCUGAUGUGAAAUCUAUGGGCUCAACUCAUAGUCUGCAUCGGAAACUGCCGUGCUUGAGUGUGGGAGAGGUGAGUGGAAUUCCCGGUGUAGCGGUGAAAUGCGUAGAUAUCGGGAAGGAACACCUGUGGCGAAAGCGGCUCACUGGACCACAACUGACGCUGAGGCGCGAAAGCUAGGGGAGCAAACAGG